rnacentral:rRNA from 1 species
GACGAACGCUGGCGGCGUGCUUAACACAUGCAAGUCGAACGGAAAGGCCCUGCUUUUGUGGGGUGCUCGAGUGGCGAACGGGUGAGUAACACGUGAGUAACCUGCCCUUGACUUUGGGAUAACUUCAGGAAACUGGGGCUAAUACCGGAUAGGAGCUCCUGCUGCAUGGUUGGGGUUGGAAAGUUUCGGCGGUUGGGGAUGGACUCGCGGCUUAUCAGCUUGUUGGUGGGGUAGUGGCUUACCAAGGCUUUGACGGGUAGCCGGCCUGAGAGGGUGACCGGCCACAUUGGGACUGAGAUACGGCCAAGACUCCUACGGGAGGCAGCAGUGAGGAAUAGUGCAAAAUGGGCGGAAGCCGGAUGCAGCAACGCCGCGUGCGGGAUGACGGCCUGCGGGUUGUAAACCGCUUUCGCCUGUGAAGAAGAGUGAGUGACGGUAAUGGGUAAAGAAGCACCGGCUAACUACGUG